rnacentral:rRNA from 1 species
GUUUGACCUCAAAUCAGGUAGGACUACCCGCUGAACUUAAACAUAUCAUAAAG